rnacentral:rRNA from 1 species
GAUGAACGCUAGCGGCAGGCUUAACACAUGCAAGUCGAGGGGCAGCGAGGGUAGCAAUACCUGUCGGCGACCGGCGGAAGGGUGAGUAACGCGUGAGCAACAUACCCGUAUCAGUGGGAUAAUACAGGGAAACUUGUUCUAAUAUCGCAUAAUAUUAUUCAGAGGCAUCUUUGGAUAAUUAAAGUUACGGCGGAUACGGAAUGGCUCGCGUGACAUUAGCUAGAUGGUAGGGUAAUGGCCUACCAUGGCGAUGAUGUCUAGGGGUUCUGAGAGGGAGGUCCCCCACACUGGAACUGAGACACGGUCCAGACUCCUACGGGAGGCAGCAGUGAGGAAUAUUGGACAAUGGAUGGAAAUCUGAUCCAGCCAUGCCGCGUGCAGGAAGGCGGCCCUAUGGGUUGUAAACUGCUUUUGUACGGGAGCAAUAAGGUCUACGAGUAGAUUGAUGAGAGUACUGUACGAAUAAGCAUCGGCUAAC